rnacentral:rRNA from 1 species
UACGAAGGGGGCUAGCGUUGCUCGGAAUCACUGGGCGUAAAGGGUGCGUAGGCGGGUCUUUAAGUCAGGGGUGAAUCCUGGAGCUCAACUCCAGAACUGCCUUUGAUACUGAAGAUCUUGAGUUCGGGAGAGGUGAGUGGAACUGCGAGUGUAGAGGUGAAAUUCGUAGAUAUUGGGAAGAACACCAGUGGCGAAGGCGGCUCACUGGCCCGGUACUGACGCUGAGGUGCGAAAGCGUGGGGAGCAAACAGG